CAAGUUUCAGACAGAACUCGGAAUACUUCUCCCACUUUGCUGUUGAGGAAAAAAUUAUCUUUGUUGUUUAGUUACAGCUCCUGGCAACCACCAUUCUACUUGAUGCCUCUAUGAAUCUGACUACUCUAGGUACCUCAGAUGAGUGGAAUUAUGCAGUAUUUGUCCUUUUGUGUGUACAACUAAUUUGACAGGCAGUAUGAUAAGGAACAAUCUGAAUGACACGUAAACAGGAGGGGGUAAAUUCCAAGCACAGCCUGAAUGAGAAGUACAACUCAUUUCCUGUAACCUAGAUGCCUUUUUAACACAUCUAUGCAGUCUCCAUGUGAAACCAGGUGCUGUUCCCAAAGGAGAAAACACUGCCCUCCAGUGGUCUUCAAUGAAGAAAUGGAAAUAGUUUCAGGUGGAAACCAGGCUUCUUGGAAGACUUCAAACUAUGCCAAAUGGUCUGAUUUCACCAUAGAGAAUGUUAUACUAUUAAUUGCCAAUUUGCAUAUGUGUGCAGCUGCUGUUUUGGCUCUGAACUCAAUCCGAUAAGCUUGCUGGAGGUAUCGCAGAGCACUUGGCAGCUUUCCUAUUUGAAAAGAAAGCCUCUCCCCUCUACAGAACAGCUGAUCGUCUAUCAGCGAUAGACCCUGAUGGCGUGAAUUACAAUUACACUACUUUUCACACUAAAUCUGGGUGAUAGCUACUUGGAAAGAAGUUUCAUCAUUUUUUACCACAAACUGGAAAAAGAAUUACAUGGUCAUGCUGUGCUUUUAAAGGCAGUUUGGUUCACUUUUGUCUAUUUAACACCUAAUUCCAAGAAGUCCAUAGGCAUCUAGAGAUCUGAAUGGCGCGUAAUGAAUUCACUGUUUAGAUUGAAGAUUUUAAAAAUCUACCUCAAAUUACAUUUAUUAACAGGGCGACCAGGAAGUGUUAAAGUUGUUAGACACUUCAUUUAUUAAAUAAUUUGUGGGUAUUUUCAGUUGUCAUAUCUAGAGUCAUGGGGUUUGCUUAUUUUUUU
rnacentral:lncRNA from 1 species